UCUGCCUGUUCUGGGAUAAGAUGGAGAAAACUCUCCCAAAAGAAAUUCUGUGGGAGCAGGUGAGGGAGAGUUACACUAAACAGGUAGGGAGGAGAACCGACUAUACACGCACCUCUGAGUUACUGCUGGAACUCACCACUCCCACUCACCUGCCAGUUUGAGCAGCAGGGACAGCAGUAAGGAAGGCAGAGGUGAGUGGAGUGGGGAGGCAGGGAUGGGCAUUGUGGUGAAACCUGGAGCUUGCUCUGCCUGAAUCUGUCCUGGAGAGGCCCUGGACUCAGUGCUCUGAGCAGAGAGGACAGUUCUUGCUUCUGUGAUGUCAGAGGAAGGGGAUUGUGAUGAGAGGAAGGGCCAGGGGACUGGGACACUUUUUCCUUUGUGAUUAUAAAAUUGAACAGACAAGGUUGCUUUAAACUAAGAAGUUACUGCUGGAAAUAUUUAGUAUUGCUGGGGCUGGGAGCAAUGUACUCCUUCCUGAGUUUCAUCCCAUCUCACAGGUUCUCUCCAACUUAAUGAACUUUGCCUAUCUAGGAGCCUUAGACACACACAUAGGCUGGACCAAGCCCACACCUCAUGACAGGCAGAUGUGGGUCUAGCUCCUGCACGAGCUCAAUGUCUGGGUCUCUCUGAGCUGCACAGCUUAGCAAAGAGGCAAAUGUCUCUAGCCUCACCCUCUUGAUGAUGAGAGUCAGACUUUACAGUGGAUGCCCUUUCUUCCACUCCAGAGUUAUUAGAGAGGAAUCAGGUGUGGCUGAAGAAAGUAUUUGAGUUGUGGAGGUGGUGAUGACUUGUGCUUUAGAGGAUGGAGGGGGCCUGCAGGGAAGGCAGAGCUGUGGGGAACACUCUCCUGGAGGAAGAGUAACAUGCCUGCAGACACCUGGGAAGGCUGGAGUGCAAUGGCAUGACCUCAGCUCACUGCAACCUCUGCCUCUGGAUUCAAGUGAUUCUCCUGCCUUAGGCUCCUGGGUAGCUGGGACUACAGGUGCCCACCACCACGCCAAGCUAAUUUUUGCAUUUUUAGUAGAGACAGCGUUUCACCAUGUUGAUCAGACUGGUCUUGAACUCCUGACCUCAGGUAAUCCACCCACCUCCCAAAGUGUUGGGAUUACAGUUGUGAGCCACUGUGCCCGGCCCAUUAGUAUACCUUAAAUAUUCAAGUUUGAAUUCCAGAUCUGCACUCAUAAACCUUAUUUUCUCCCACACCAUGCCUGUUUGUUAUUUGGUACCAUCAUCUUCGUGUUUGUCAAACCAGGAAGGGACUCAUGUUCUUUACCCUCACUUAACCACUUGUUACCGAGUAAAAGAGGCUCGCUGCCUGAUGUGCUAGAAGCCAAUACUGUGACACCAGGCAUUUGAGAAAAGAAAAGCUGUUUUAUUGCAAGUUGACUAACAGCAAGACAGGAGUCCAGCUCAAAUCUAGCUGGCUUCAAGGGGGCAGUUUUAUUAGAAAAAGUUUAGGGGGUGGAUUCUGGGAUUAGUACGUGAUUGGUGGAAGGAAAGAGGAGACCUAGAAAGUUCUUGGCAUUUACAGUUAUCUCUCCAUGCCUCUUCACGGCUCCCAUGUGCAAAACUCUGGGAUGUUCUUAUAAAAUGUGUGGUAGAAAUUCAGGCUGUGACCUUGGCAAACUGAUUCUGAACAAACUCCAGUUGGCCAUGUUGGUUCCAAUGGAUUUUAGUUAGUUUUGUCAUCUUACAAAUGGAAGAAGUUUCAGCAUUUCAGCAAGUUGUUUUUUUUUCUUACCCGCUAUCCUGUAAACUCAAGAAUUUCUGUUAGUAACUGGUUUCACACUCAUAUCUCGCCCUAGCAGCCCCUAUUGGAUUUACCUCCUAAAUCCCUUCUGAAUUAAUCUCUUUCUUCUUCUCUAUCAUCAUCUCUUGGCUGAAUAAAAACAAUUGCCUUCUUACUAGGCUACCCUCAUUUUUAUUUGCCCCCUGUAGCCUCUUUUUCCUUCUUCAGCCAGACUUGUCUUUUUACAGCAUUGAGUUAAUUAUGUCCCUCUCCUGAAUAAACAUUUUGUGGAUUCUCAUGAACCUGGAAGUAAUAGAAACAAGGCCUUCUUCCUUGACUGACCUGCUCCCUUAGAGACAAAGGGAUCCCCACCUUUCCGACAUGUAGCAAAGCCUCGUUGUCCCAGGUUGGGUUCCCUGGGAGACAGACUCUGGGGUGAAGAUGAACAAGCAGGUUAUUUUUCAGGGAGUACUUUUAGGAUCAACACUUGUAGAAGAGAGGAGAGGGAAGCAGGAUUGGGUAGAAGAAGCAGCUGGGCUGCAGUGAAGUCCCAGCGAAGACCUCAGCUGAGCUUGCAUGGAGCCUGGUGCUAGGAUGUUUCUCCAGAGUUGCUCUAAGUUAGGAUAAGAGAGCUGGGCCUUUAUAACAUCAGGCUGAUGUGGUAUAAAGUGAGAUGUGGUCUGUUUCCAGACAUGACCUAAGCAAGGGCACUCCCUCCAGCUGAGACAAUCCCAAAUAGCGCUGAUGCUGAGGACCAUCUUCGCAAGCAAGUGCCUCUCAGCAUCCAUUACCCUCCUCCUGGGAACAACUUGUUCCUGUAAAGAUUUGGGCUCAGGAUAUUAUUCACUCACUCAUAGUCAGAUCCUGAAAGUUAGCCCAGCUCACCCACAUAACCCAAAGUUCUCUGAUCCCACAGUUUUAGAUUUACAGAAAAAUUGAGAAGACAAUACAGAGAGGCUGGAUAUAUUUGUGCACUGAUUCCCCUAUCAUUGGCAUCUUGCAUUAUUAUAAUACAUUAUUAUGAUCAAUGAACCGAUAUUGAUGCAUUAUGAUUAAUGAAAGUUCAUAGUUUAUUUAGAUCUUUUCUUUUUACCUAAUGUCCUUUUUCUGUUCCAGCAUCCCAUCCAGCAAACCUGUUACAUUUACUUGUAGUAUCUCCUCAGGCCUCUCUUGGCUGUGACAGGUUUUUAGACUUUUCUUGAUUUUGAUGACCUUGACAGUUUUGAGCAGUACUGGGCCCAAUAUUGCAGGAUGCCUCUUCAUGACAAUUUGAUGUUUUUCUCAUGAUUAGAUUGGGGUUGUGAGGGGGAAGGUAGCAGAGGAAAAGUGUCAUUUUCAUCACCUCAUAUUAAAGGUACAUAUUAGUGACAUGAUUUAUGACUAUUGAUGUUGAUUUAUAAUUGUUGAUGAACUCUUGAUCACCUGGCUGAAGCGGUAUUUGUCAGGUUUUUCUACUGUGAAGUUAUUUUUUCUCCUUUUUUCCCUGCCGCACUCUAAAAAGAAGUUGCUCUGCACAGCCCACACUUCAGGAGUGGAAGUUAUGUUACACCUCCUUUAGGAUGGAGUGUAUAAAUAAAUGAUCUGGGACUCUUCUGCACUGGAGUCUUCUCUUCUCUCCCAUUAAUUUACUCAAUCAUUGAUUUAUAUCGGUAUGGACUCACAUAUUUAUUUUAUACUUUGGAUUAUAACUCAUUACUACUUUGCUUAUUUGGACUUUUUGCUGAAAUUGUUCCAGCGUUAGCCUUUGGGAGCUCUUUCAGUUGGUUCCUGCACCGCUUUGAUGUACUGCAGUCACUGUGGGUUUUGGUUUUGGGGUUGACUUUUUUUUUCUUUUUAGCAUUUUCUUACUUUCUAGAGGAUGUUGAAUUUUUGAUGGAAUGUUUUACACGGAAAGAAGAGAGAGUAGUUUUUUAAAGAAAGAGCUUGAGAAUACAGCACACAAGCCAAGGGAUCAAAUGAAGAAAAGUUUUCUUAGGAAAUCUAACACCUAGUAUAAACCAAUGGCCUCAAUGAUGUAUUCACUCAUUUAAAAACAUUGACAGCCUGUCAUAUGGCAAACACAGUUUCGGCAGCUGAGGAUAGUGAUCAUCUCCCUCCACCCUGUGAUAGAACUGACAUUCUAUUUGAGUAAGACAGACAAAUACAGGCAGUUCUCACUUUGGUGCUGACGUGCAUGCAUUUAACUUACCACGGUUUAGUUAAGUAAUAUCAGUCCCACAACACAAGUCUCAAAAUUUAGGUGCCAUAGUAAAUUUACUGUAAUUUGCAUAGAGUACAAACUUCUGGGCUAGCUCUUCAGUCCACAAAUCACCAUGGAAAUAACAAAAGCUCAUCAUCAUCAGUAACCAGUCAUGUUGCUUCUUUCAAAGUCUGUUGGUGAUUGGUUCCUAUGAAUCUCCUACUCAAACAGCAAAGCCUUAGUUGGUUUGCCUUCUUGUCUCCCAGUGAGAUGAGCCCACGUGACAUUUUACAGUAAUGAAAAAUUGAAAGAGGAAUUUGGCAACCAAGAUGAAGGUGCCAUGAAGAAAUGAGAAGUGAAAAUGCUGCCUGUGAAGUUCAAAUUAAAUGUGAGUGGAAUUCUAGAAGUACAAAUAGUUGACCAUGGCAAUGUAGACCCUGAUACAGGAACUUCAGAGAGGCAGCCAGAGGGAUAUAGUAAAGGCCAACUGCCACGAGUGGGAGGGGGUGGUAAUAAAAGGGCUGAAGAUGUCCCAAAGAUUGAAACAGCAGCAAAAAACUUCACAUGAGAGGAUCUUCUGGAGUGAUUUCAUAACAUUGAAAGUGCAAGAGAUGAGAUGUUGGAAGUUAGUUCAAACUUAGAGAGAUGGCAAAACACCAAAGUAUAAUAGAAAUGGUGCUUGACGGCUGGGCGUGGUGUUUCAUGCCUGUAAUUCCAGCACUUUGGGAGGCUGAGGGAGGCAGAUCACUUGACGGUGGGAGUUCGAGACCAGCCUGACCAACAUGGUGAAACCUUGUCACUACUAAAAAUACAAAAUUAGCUGUGCAUGGUGGUGCAUGCCUGUAAUCCCAGCUACUUGGGAGACUGAGGCAGGAGAAUCACUUGAACCUGGGAGGUGGAGUUUGCAGUGAGACAAGAUUGUGACAUUGCACUUCAGCCUGGGCAACAAGAGCAAAACUCUAUGUCAAAAAAAGAAAAAAAAGGAAAAGAAAUGAUGCUUGCUUCAUGUAUUAGCCCAUUCUUACACUGCUAUAAAGAACUACCUGAGACUGCAUAAUUUAUGAAGAAAAGAGGUUUAUUUGACUCACAGUUCCACAGUCUUAACAGGAAGCCUGACUGGGAGGCCUUAGGAAACUUACAAUCAUGAUGGAAGGAGAAAAGAAAACAGGAACUUUUUUCACAUGGUGGUAGGAGAGGGAGAGAGAAUAGAGAGAAUGAAGGAGGAAAUGCGACACGCUU